ensembl:snRNA U1 U1 spliceosomal RNA
GAGUGUACCUGGCAGGGGAGAUGAUAUGCUCACAAAGGUGGUUUUCCCAAGCAGUGCUUAUCCAUUGCACUCUGGAUGUGCUGACCCCUGUGAUUUCUCCAAAUAUGGGAAUUCAACUGCAUGAUUUGUGGUAGUGGGGUCUUCAUACGUUCCCCUA